rnacentral:misc_RNA from 1 species
GAUGAAGAACGCAGCGAAAUGCGAUACGUAAUGUGAAUUGCAGAAUUCAGUGAAUCAUCGAAUCUUUGAACGCAUAUUGCGCUCUCUGGUAUUCCGGAGAGCAUGCUUGUUUGAGUAUCAGUAAACACCUCAACUCCCUUUCUUCUUGAAAUGGAGCUGGACUUGAGUGAUCCCAACGCUUUAUUCAUAAAGUGGCUGGUUACUUGAAAUGCAGGUGCAGCUGGACUUUUCUCUGAGCUAUAAGCAUAUCUAUUUAGUCUGCCUCAAAACAGAUUAUUACCUUUGCUGCAGCUAACAUAAAGGAGAUUAGUUCUUGUGCUGACUGAUGCAGGAUUCACAAAGACCGCUUCGGCUGUCUUUGUAAACUCGAUCUCAAAUCAAGUAAGACUACCCGCUGAACUUAAGCAUAUCAAUAAGCGGAGGA